rnacentral:rRNA from 1 species
ACAGCAGCCGCCACGGUAAUACGAAGGGGGCUAGCGUUGCUCGGAAUGACUGGGCGUAAAGGGCGCGUAGGCGGCUUGCACAGUCAGAUGUGAAAUUCCUGGGCUCAACCUGGGGACUGCAUUUGAUACGUGUGGGCUUGAGUGGAGAAGAGGGUUGUGGAAUCUCCAGUGUAGAGGUGAAAUUCGUAGAUAUUGGAAAGAACACCGGUGGCGAAGGCGGCAACCUGGUCUUUAACUGACGCUGAGGCGCGAAAGCGUGGGGAGCAAACAGGAUUAGAUACCCCGGUAGUCCCUGUCUCUUAUAC